UCAUUUCCCAGUGUCCUACAGGAAAAGCUUGAACCUGGACCUCACGCCAGACUUCUUACUCUCAACCUUCACCGCAAAGACCCUAAAUGUCCACUACAUGGGGAAAGGAGUAAACCAUUUCUGGUGCAACCACCACAGGAAAAAAAACCUGAGUUUCCAGGAGGUUGCAUACCUUCCUCCGGGCCACACGGCUAAUGGUCAUGAACUUCAGAACCUACCUCUGACCUAUUUGCCUCUGAAGACUCUGCCUCAUGGAAGAAAAAGAACCAGUAGUCCUGGUGUAAUGGAAGCAAACCUCACCACGUCAUUAGUACCCAAACGUUCCUGGCAGAAAGGCUAAAGUUUCCCAGACUCCUUCACAGCUGGGCUUCUGGAUACAAAUUCGUUUCUGCCAAUUGGAUGCACUUGCACAAUAUUCUGAAGGCAGAAACUAGGCAGAGGCAUCUUCCUAGGGCUUUGGCUUUUUGCUGCUGGUAAGCAGGUUUGCAGAGAUUGGGGGUUUUCUGAAGAAUUCAGGUGUCCAGUUGCCAAGCUAUGGGUGUGGACAGGCAGUUGUGGCAGAGACAGCAGUCACACUGGACCAGUUUUGUGGGAGCUGGAAGGCAGGUGCAGUGGUGGCAGUUUCCUGAACCCUGGAUCACAGCUAUGGCAGCAUGUUCUAGAAUUCAUUCAUUCCACUGGCCAACUCCGGAUGCCCACGUCCCCAGAUGUGGCUGGCGGGUGUUGCUGUGUCCAGGGAGUCUUUUCUGGGGGCCCAGUCUAGUGCCACUCUGCCCUAGCUUUUCCAGUGGUUUUCCAAGCACUAAU